CUCAAUAAAAUUGCUGAGCUGUACUCAAAGCUGCCAUAUUGUUCUGGAACCACAAAAGUUUUAAGUUCACUCAACUGGUUUCCCAGUUAUUGAUUAUUUAGAGUAGAGUAGCGCUUAGUAUAUGAGUAGAACUGACCUCCUAACUCAUUUCUUUCAAGAGUGGAUUGAAAUUACGUCUGACGUAGUAAUGACGUGCUAGUUCAUUGGCUAGGUUCAUUUCAACACGGCUUGCAGCCACUUGCAACUAACCUACACAAACCAACACAAACCCACAAAAACAAAUAAGCAUUUUAAAAAUUGGAAAUGAUGGAUGAACUAGUAUAUGGUUGAUUUUGGCGGAUGUAAAUUAAUACACUUUGACAUCAGACGACUAGUUUGCAAGGACUGCUGCGCACCCGGAUGUAGACAACAACAACAACAUCAAGAUCCAUCAGCAACAGCCUUCCAAAGGUGCAACGGACCAGAUGGCGCUGUGACAUUCAUUUUCAGUUCUGUGCAAGGAACCAUCAUGCCAUGGACGAUGCUGAUGUCAACAGCAGACGAACAAUUAUUCUGCAGGCCCUUCUAAUCUUCCUGCAGGAUGACCUGGAAUGUAGAAGAAAUUGACCUGCCUGACCUCUCGGAUGCAGCUGUACCUAUUCUCACUGUCUCAAGUGAUACGGACUCCCUUGUGAAGUUUGGUCAUGCUAUCCAUUCUAUAGUUCUUGAGGGAGCUAUUGUUGAGUGUGAUAUAACAGAGUUGACAGAUGCGUUAAUUUUACUGUUUGCCUUAAUUUAUGCACUUCAUGUCGAUUAUCCAAAGCAAUUGUCUUACGCAUUUAAUUUCAUUCAAAAAUUAUAAUAGGUUUGGGUGACCUGAAGUCGUUACCUCCUAGACUACUUAGCCUUAAAAAUGAAUUGCUGAUGAUGGAUGAGUAUGCAGUCUGUUUUCCAAAUCUCAUUGUUGGUAGUGCCAGCAUUUUAAUACUCAAGCAAGCAAUGAAGUGAUUUUUUUUUUUUUUUUUUUUUUAUUAUUUAUGUUGGCCUUAUUAUUUUUGUUAUUUGAGUAUUUGUACCUUUGUUGACGAAAUGGUUGUUAUUUCUUAGAUUUUUUUGUAUUAACCCCAUUGCUGGGGAGGUUGUUCUGUUAGAAUUCAAAUGGAAUUCUUAAAUAAAUGGAA